rnacentral:rRNA from 1 species
GGGGAAUAUUGCACAAUGGGCGCAAGCCUGAUGCAGCCAUGCCGCGUGUAUGAAGAAGGCCUUCGGGUUGUAAAGUACUCUCAGCGAGGAGGAAGGCGUUAAGGUUAAUAACCUUAGCGAUUGACGUUACUCGCAGAGGAAGCACCGGCUAACUCCGUGCCAGCAGCCGCGGUAAUACGGAGGGUGCAAGCGUUAAUCGGAAUUACUGGGCGUAAAGCGCACGCAGGCGGUCUGUCAAGUCGGAUGUGAAAUCCCCGGGCUCAACCUGGGAACUGCAUUCGAAACUGGCAGGCUAGAGUCUUGUAGAGGGGGGUAGGAUUCCAGGUGUAGCGGUGAAAUGCGUAGAGAUCUGGAGGAAUACCGGUGGCGAAGGCGGCCCCCUGGACAAAGACUGACGCUCAGGUGCGAAAGCGUGGGGAGCAAAC